UACGUAGGGUGCAAGCGUUAAUCGGAAUUACUGGGCGUAAAGCGUGCGCAGGCGGCUUUGCAAGACAGAUGUGAAAUCCCCGGGCUUAACCUGGGAACUGCAUUUGUGACUGCAUGGCUGGAGUGCGGCAGAGGGGGAUGGAAUUCCGCGUGUAGCAGUGAAAUGCGUAGAUAUGCGGAGGAACACCGAUGGCGAAGGCAAUCUCCUGGGCCUGCACUGACGCUCAUGCACGAAAGCGUGGGGAGCAAACGGG
rnacentral:rRNA from 1 species